UAGGGAAUCUUCGGCAAUGGACGAAAGUCUGACCGAGCAACGCCGCGUGAGUGAAGAAGGUUUUCGGAUCGUAAAGCUCUGUUGUAAGAGAAGAACGGGUGUGAGAGUGGAAAGUUCACACUGUGACGGUAUCUUACCAGAAAGGGACGGCUAACUACGUGCCAGCAGCCGCGGUAAUACGUAGGUCCCGAGCGUUGUCUGGAUUUAUUGGGCGUAAAGCGAGCGCAGGCGGUUAGAUAAGUCUGAAGUUAAAGGCUGUGGCUUAACCAUAGUACGCUUUGGAAACUGUUUAACUUGAGUGCAGAAGGGGAGAGUGGAAUUCCAUGUGUAGCGGUGAAAUGCGUAGAUAUAUGGAGGAACACCGGUGGCGAAAGCGGCUCUCUGGUCUGUAACUGACGCUGAGGCUCGAAAGCGUGGGGAGCGAACAGGAUUAGAUACCCUGGUAGUCCACGCCGUNNCGAUGAGUGCUAGGUGUUAGGCCCUUUCCGGGGCUUAGUGCCGCAGCUAACGCAUUAAGCACUCCGCCUGGGGAGUACNACCGCAAGGUU
rnacentral:rRNA from 1 species